CCCUAGCCCUGAUCGAAGCGGCAUCCUUUCUGUUUUUUCUUUAAAAACAGAAAGAUACAGCGAAGAGCAGGAAACAGC
rnacentral:sRNA from 1 species